UUGGAGGGCAAGUCUGGUGCCAGCAGCCGCGGUAAUUCCAGCUCCAAUAGCGUAUAUUAAAGUUGUUGCAGUUAAAAAGCUCGUAGUUGAAUUUCGGGACCAAUUUGUUGGUCGUGCCUCGGUACGUACUGGUAUUAUUGGUUUCUCCCUUCUGAAGAACCUUGAUGUCAUUAAUUUGGUGUCUUGGGGAAUCAGGACUGUUACUUUGAAAAAAUUAGAGUGUUUAAAGCAGGCAUACGCUUGAAUACAUUAGCAUGGAAUAAUGAAAUAGGACGUUCGAUCCUAUUUUGUUGGUUUCUAGGAUCGACGUAAUGAUUAAUAGGGAUAGUUGGGGGCAUUAGUAUUCAAUUGUCAGAGGUGAAAUUCUUGGAUUUAUUGAAGACUAACUACUGCGAAAGCAUUUGCCAAGGAUGUUUUCAUUAAUCAAGAACGAAAGUUAGGGGAUCGAAGACGAUCAGAUACCGUCGUAGUCUUAACCAUAAACUAUGCCGACUAGGGAUCGGAUGAUGUUAUUUUUAAUGACUCAUUCGGCGCCUUACGGGAAAC
rnacentral:rRNA from 1 species